ACUUUUGCUUGUCUUAUUGCAGUAGGAGACGUCAUAACUCAUCAAUGUAAGAGAUAUUUCUCACUUUCUAUUAACCAGACUCUCAAGGAGGAAGUAGCAUGUGCAAGGCAGCACGAUAUAAAUAGUGAAGAGUUAAUGGGAAUGUUUAGUGAGGCUGAAGAAAGAUCACCUAAUGCAACAGUUUGUUAUGCUUCAUACAAAUUAAAUUACCUAGAAAGUUUAGAUCAAUUAUCUAGAGAAAACAUAAUUAUGUGGUCGAUUCAGAAACCCAUAAAAAUGUAGUUAUGUGGUCGAUUCAGAAACCCAUAAAAAUAUAGUUAUGUGGUUGAUUCAGAAACCCAUAAAAAUAUAGUUAUGUGGUCUAUUCAGAAACCCAUAAAAAGAGAUGAUAAAUCAAAUGAAGCAUAAUGAUAUAUGAGCAGAUAUUUCAAAAAAACAUGUAUGCAAAUGCCAAAAAAUGGAUGAAAAAGACAAAAGUAAGUUAAAAUAACAGUUGCUUGAACUCUUUUACAAUGAAAUAAAGUGUUUAAAUACAUUGUCUAUCAAACAACGUCAUGACUAAGAUGAUGUAAUGUCAGAUAGAAUUGUUGGGCAAAAACUUUGCCAUGAAUGGUACAAUAGUAAGUAUUCGAAGUAUGUCAUGUAUGAUGGUAGAGAAGAAAAACUUGAUAAAACAAAACAAGACAAAGUUUGCACAAUUUCUUACUGGAAUAAAGGUAAUACUGAUACUGAAGCUGUUGACUACAACAUGAAAAAAUAUCAGCUUCCGCUGAUGUUGGACUAGGAGAGUUGAUUUUUUUUUGAAGUGUAAUAUGUAACAACUUAUGAUAUUACUUGUAAUGAAGCUUUAAAAAUAGAUACUGCAAGUGAUAAAACUUACAAAACAGAUACGGCAUAUGAUGAAACUUGAAUAAAGGUAUUGUAAGUAAUAUAACUUGAAGAAGUAGUCAUAUUAAGUCAGGUAUGCCUGGUAUUAAACCAUAUGUUUUUGUUUUACUUUUUUUUAUAAAUGUUUUUAGAGAAGAAUAAAAGUAUUUGACUUGGAAUGACCUUUGCACAAGUGUUGUGACUUGCAAAAUAUUUUGAUAGGCAGCUCUGGCUUAUCUUCACGUGGUGUCUAUUGUUACAAAUGAUUAUUAUAGUGUUCCAUUUAUGAAAUUGACUAUUUUAAUUAUUUACUAAAAGCUAAGACAACUAUUUAAACUUAGGAUAUCUAAAAUGUUUUAAUACAGAACAAUAUAAAAUUGAUUGUUACAUUUUUUUAUAGGAUACAACACUGAUAUAUUUGGUAAUGAAAUAAAAUAUAUUUAAUGAAAUAUCAAAAAAUGAAAUAUACUAAUUUAUUUUGUUUGUUAAAGAUACAAUUAUUUUUAAGAAUUCAACAUCUUUUUAUUGUAGGUUGUGGGUAACCAUUACCACCCUAUUUAACAAACUUCUCAACUUAACCAAAAUUUACGAAUAGCAGCGGAAAGACUUUUUUUUCAAAAGUAGGCUCAGUUGUGGUCUUUAUCUUUAGCUUGUAGGUUAUACUUGGUGCAAAAAGCCUAAUUCAGGUUGGGGGGGGGGGCACACGCCCCUCCCACAAGUCAAUAAGCACACCACCAAUAAAUGAAUUUCUUGUAGCAAAAAAAUUUUUUAUGUUUUUUAUACUAUAUACUAGUUUCACUUAUUUUAUUAAA